UGAUGAUGUUGGAAUAGAAGCUGUCUUGGACUUUCGGAAACUAAGGUGAGUAUAUGAUAUCCCUCUUUUUCUCUUCCGUGGCUGCAAAAGAAUCUGCAUUCCCAAGUUCAAAUAGCCGUAGCUAAGCAGAGAAAAUGUGGCUAAUGAUAUUUCAAGACUCUCAGGUAAACGCUAGAUGCUUUAGUAUUGUAAGCGACUGACACACACACGAGGGAAGAAUGCAGUUGCUUCAACCCAAGCGUGUUACAAAUGUCAUGCUAGUUAUGUUGUAUUUCUCUUCUAUAUUAAAGUACUAGCCUUAUUUCUUGUUCAUUGUGAAUUUUUAGACUCUUUUGUCAAUUUUAUGAUUAGCUUGUUCUCGUGGUUAGUAGUAAUUGUGAUCAGUGUUUUGCGAUUAUUUGCUGACAUCUGCAUACACUAUCUUGACUAUAGUCUGAAGUGUUUGAAGAUUUUAUUUUAUCUGAUCAGACGGAAAUUAUUUCUUUACCAGUGCUGAAUUCAAAUACGUGUCGCACUAGGAUUUGCAAAAGUCCAAGUGUGUUGUAUGGAUGUGGUAUAACCUCUUCUGGUUGUUUGUUGUCAGUUUUUGCAUUCCAUAAUCAUAUUGUGUUGUAAGAAUUUCACAGGACAAAUCUAUUAGAAAAAGAUGCUAAGACGAGCUAGGAAGGUGCAAAUAAUUACAUUUGAUCCGUUGGAAGCCUUAGAUAUGAUGCUAGGAAACUGCAAAAUGUUGUUUUUAAUAUGGGUGAAUGAGCUAUUAUUCCCCUGAUACUUGUAAUUGUCACUCACCAGGAUCCAUUGUUCCUGUUAGCUUUUCCUUUAUUGCAAGUUUUGCAAUUAUCAGCACUAAUUGCUGGUACUAAGCAAUUUCUUCUUCUCAAAGGCAGUUUAGUGUGACAUGAUCUAUUACAUUGCUCUCUUUGUUUCAUUUUCAUUACUUUUAUCUCUGAUUAUGAAUAUUUUAGUCCCUGCACAAUGUGUCAAUAGACUCAUUUUAUAUUUUAUCUGCAAUCAAACUGUUUUUUCUUUAUAGUUCAGCGAAUCAAAGCAACUGUGGAUUUCUGUUGCGUAAAAUACACAAUUGUGGCAUUAACUAUUGUUAUUUCAGAUUACGAGCCUGCCUUAAUAGCAUGUAUGGGUUCUAUUCUCUAAGGCAAGCACUAUCGUGAGUUCGCAGCUGCUAUUAUUCUGGUACAGCUGAUGGAUAUUACUGUUUAUGUUCUUCUCUACCCUUCCUUAUGAACAAUUAAGGAUCUUCCGCCUAUUGACCUCUGUAUCUGGGAACUUGGCUUGUCAGUGUUAUCAGUUCAUCAUUUUCUUGAAUCAGAAAAGUUUUAGCUGGUAAUUUCCUGUAAGCCUGCUCUACAAAUGGUUAGUUGAUUCUCUCAUCUCUGGUUAGAUGCCUGAUGUUUGACAAAGAAGAACAGAUCCACUUAGCUGAGUUCUUCAUGUCAGUGAAAAUUUCUGGAGGCUUUUUAGUCGCUGAAUCCGAUGAUAUGAAAGGUGCUUGCAUGGAAGAUAUCUUGUAUUCCUGAUGGAUCACAGUGGCAGUGUUGAAAAAUAAUAUUGGGAGUUGCUACCAACCAAUCCCGUUGUCCAAAAUCCAAAUGUGGGUGACAAACUCACCUUGGAUGUUGGUACUUAUAACCGCCCCACUGCGGAUGAUCACAAACUGUUUGAUUCCUUAGAGGCUUCGCUCACUGAAGAAAUCCUGAUCUGGAUCAGGAGAACAUUGAUGCUGAAGGACAAGAUUAUGAAGGUUGGUUUAAGCAGAUAAAGUGGGGUUUUGUAGCCAUCUUAGUCAUGUCUGACGAAAUGAUCAUGCUACGAGUAAGGAUCCCACUCUGGUGGAGUGCUGUGGGCAAAAUGCUUGUCAAAGCAAUUUCUACAGACUAGGACUCCUCUUUCUGACUGCUUGUGUUGACAGUCGAUAGUCAAACGUUUGGAUAACAUCGAUCAUAUACACAAAGUUGUGGGCGACUGCAAGUAAUAUGUUGGAUCUGAUCUGGUGGUCUUUGCAGAGUCUCUCUUCAGAGUAACUUUUCUUUGCCAUGGACAGCUAUUAGGCUAGGAAUCUGGUCGUCUGUUUUAGUGUGAUGUUUAUUUCUGCUAAAUAAUCUAUUUAGAAGCUUGAGCUUUUUUUAUACCAUGCUUAAAAAGAACCUACUUCAACUCGA